UGAUAGAAGGUAGACGAUUUCAGAAAAAACUGUAAAAUAGCCGGUGAUUUACGGAUUUACGGUAGUCAGAUGAAAAGAAAAGACUAUCGGAAUAACAGACAUUAAAUUAUUAUGCGUUUAUAUAUUACCCUUGGAUUUUAUUUCUUUAGUGAUUUUUGAGACGAACCCUUCGGCCAGGGAAUUCGAAAAAUAUUCUGUACUUAAAGUUCUGUACUAUAAUACACUUACGUACGUAUUUUAUUAUUCAAUUACAUUCCAAUAUACGACGUUACGCGUGCAAUUUGUCGAUCAUGUUUACUGCUCCUUAGAGGUUCGAAAAAAUAGUAUAUCACUCUACCAAAUACGUUACACUGCAGGUCUGCGAAGAAACUUACAUUUUGAAAAGCAUAAAUUGUUAACCUACGGCGUAAUAUAAAUAUAUUAGGACUGUUUAUUACACGUAUACGCCUGAAAUUAGUGAAACAUUUCUUGCUGGAACCUGAGCAAUCAGAAAUUCACGUAUACUUAAUUCACGAAUAUCCAAAAUACAAAUCCGUGUCUGGUGUUUGGGUGAUAGUUUAUGAU